rnacentral:snRNA from 1 species
GCGUAGCUUAGGCUUCGCAUGUACUAAAAUGGGAACGAUACAGAGAAGUUUCGCAUGGCUCCCUCGGAAAAGAAAAAGAACCUGCGGGUUUUC